rnacentral:lncRNA from 1 species
GUCUGAUUAAUAUCCUGUUAGCGAGCUGGCAAAUCUCCAAAUUCACUUCUUAAAUGACAAUGAGACUAUUCCAUGAGCUUGAAUGGACCUUGUUAGCAUAACACUAAUAAUUCAUCGCUUAGAAUCCAAAGAGAUUAUAAGUAAAUCUAGACAUGUGCAGCUUAUCACAGUUCCUUUUUGCUUUCCUUCUGGGUAGGCACAGAACUACAACACAUCAUGUAUUUCACCACUACCGUCAGGUCAGAAAAGCCUCACUUUUAUGAGAAAUGCAUAACGAGGCAAAAAGCCCAGAAGAUCAAAAAAACUCAUCUCUCCUGGCAGCAUCUAGAAAUUUGUCCCCACUGCUUCUUGAUAAGCAGAUGUUUACGGCCAAGUUCACUUCAGAAACCAGUACUAUGAGGCUGGAGUUAGCUGUCCUAAAGGGUUUUCUUAGAGUGGAGAAGUGGCAUUCCACAACUCAUUUGCACGGCACAUCCAUGCAUCCUGAUGGCCAGGCACACUCUGACCUUCUCUCCGUGUUAGAACUGAAAUAGGAUUCAGUCCAUAGCAGACCUCGGAAGAUUUC